GGCAACAUGGCCGAGUGGUUAAGGCGUCAGACUCGAAUGCUUCGAUAUCUGAUCCUCUUUGAGGGCGCAGGUUCAAAUCCUGCUGUUGUCG